rnacentral:rRNA from 1 species
GAUUUACUGGGCGUAAAGAGCGCGCAGGCGGUCGUUCAAGUCGAGUGUGAAAGCCCCCGGCUCAACUGGGGAGGGUCACUCGAUACUGAUCGACUUGAAGGCAGGAGAGGGAAGCGGAAUUCCCGGUGUAGUGGUGAAAUGCGUAGAUAUCGGGAGGAACACCAGUGGCGAAGGCGGCUUCCUGGCCUGUUCUUGACGCUGAGGCGCGAAGCUAGGGGAGCAAAACGGG